UUUGGACCUCCGGCCCGCCGUCUGGCCCCUUCCAGCGUUCAGGCUCCCAGUGGUCACGCUGGGGCUUCGUGUCUGCCCCCGUAGUGGUCAGUGCUCAGGAUGGAACCCAGGGGCUCACUCAUGCUAAGCAAGUGCUCUACCACUAAGCCACACAUCCAGCCCUGGUUGCACGUUAUGAAUACGAGGUCUUGCUAUGUAGCCCAGACUGGCCUUGAACUCU